AUUGAACGCUGGCGGCAGGCCUAACACAUGCAAGUCGAACGGUAGCACAGAGAGCUUGCUCUCGGGUGACGAGUGGCGGACGGGUGAAUAAUGUCUGGGAAACUGCCUGAUGGAGGGGGAUAACUACUGGAAACGGUAGCUAAUACCGCAUAACGUCGCAAGACCAAAGAGGGGGACCUUCGGGCCUCUUGCCAUCGGAUGUGCCCAGAUGGGAUUAGCUAGUAGGUGGGGUAACGGCUCACCUAGGCGACGAUCCCUAGCUGGUCUGAGAGGAUGACCGGCCACACUGGAACUGAGACACGGUCCAGACUCCUACGGGAGGCAGCAGUGGGGAAUAUUGCACAAUGGGCGCAAGCCUGAUGCAGCCAUGCCGCGUGUAUGAAGAAGGCCUUCGGGUUGUAAAGUACUUUCAGCGGGGAGGAAGGGAGUAAAGUUAAUACCUUUGCUCAUUGACGUUACCCGCAGAAGAAGCACCGGCUAACUCCGUGCCAGCAGCCGCCGUAA
rnacentral:rRNA from 1 species